CUUUAUUUACUGGCUCAGAACGAACGCUGGCGGCAGGCCUAACACAUGCAAGUCGAGCGAGACCUUCGGGUCUAGCGGCGGACGGGUGAGUAACGCGUGGGAACGUACCCUUUGCUUCGGAAUAGCCCCGGGAAACUGGGAGUAAUACCGGAUGAGCCCUUUGGGGGAAAGAUUUAUCGGCGAAGGAUCGGCCCGCGUUGGAUUAGGUAGUUGGUGGGGUAAUGGCCUACCAAGCCGACGAUCCAUAGCUGGUUUGAGAGGAUGAUCAGCCACACUGGGACUGAGACACGGCCCAGACUCCUACGGGAGGCAGCAGUGGGGAAUCUUAGACAAUGGGGGAAACCCUGAUCUAGCCAUGCCGCGUGAGCGAUGAAGGCCUUAGGGUUGUAAAGCUCUUUCAGCUGGAAGAUAAUGACGUCCCAA
rnacentral:rRNA from 1 species